AGCAGUGCGAGCCCAGCUGGAGUAGGAGCGCGGACUCGAGGCUUGGGGCGCGCAGCCCCGGUUCCGCCGAGAGCCGGGGCCCCAGUCGGCCGCUUCAGGGCCCCGUAGACUCAGAGAAGCGGGCCUCCGUGAACCCCUCCCUGGUGAAGGUGCACAUUCACCACCCGCCUGAGGCCUCAGUGCAGAUCCACCAGGUGGCCCAGGUGCGGGGCGGGGUGGAGGAGGCCCUAGUGGAGAACAGCGUGGAGACCAGACCCCCGCCCUGGCUGCCUGCCAGCCCUGGCCACAGCCUCUGGGACAGCAACAACAUCCCUGCUCGGUCUGGAGAGCCCCCUCGGCCACUGCCCCCAGCAGCACCUAGGCCUCGAGGACUGCUGGGCCGGUGUUACCUGAACACUGUGAACGGACAGUGUGCCAACCCUCUGCUGGAGCUGGCUACGCAGGAGGAUUGCUGUGGCAGUGUGGGAGCCUUCUGGGGGGUGACUUUGUGUGCCCCAUGCCCACCCAGCCCAGCCUUCCCGGUGAUUGAGAAUGGCCAGCUGGAGUGUCCUCGGGGGUACAAGAGACUGAACCUCACUCACU
rnacentral:sRNA from 1 species